GAUUUAGUGCACAUUUUAAAUAUAUACAGCGUGUGCCUCUGUUAAUGUUUUUAUACUCCAAUAAAAUUAUAAAAAGAAGCAUACAAUUCUUAUAAAAGUUACUCAACACUAUAUUUUUGGACAUACAUAAUACACUAGGCGAGGUGUUUAUUUAACAAUGUUAACGUAUGAAAAGAAAACCAGUCUAAAAGAGGGACGAAGGAUACCAGAGGGAGAGUCCAACUCAUAGAUAGAAAAUAAACUGACAACGCCAUGGCUAAAAAUAAAAAGACAAACAGACAAAUAAUAUUACAGAAGACACAACAUAGAAAACUAAAGACGAAGUAACACGAACCCCACCAAAAAUAUAUUCCCGGUACUGAAGCCUUCAGUAUGUAGAAAAUCCUGAUGAUUAACAAUAUAAUAUAACCAACUAUAAGUACUCUGUAUUAAGUGUUCCAUGAAUGUGAUGCAUCUAAGUUAUUUUGAAAAACAGUAUCUAUAAUUUUUAAUUGACGAAUCAAGUGGGUACUAAAUAACAAUAUAACCACUUUCCCUUCAACUUCCAAGUACUUCCACGUACCAAGCC
rnacentral:lncRNA from 1 species